CCUGGAAUCACUUUGCCUACUAAUCAUGAGGCUCUUUUCAUUUGGAAAACACUUAGCUUCUGACAUCACUUGGCUUCCUAAAUCCAAAACUGUGAUGAA
rnacentral:lncRNA from 1 species